rnacentral:rRNA from 1 species
AUUGAACGCUGGCGGCAGGCCUAACACAUGCAAGUCGAACGAGUGGCGGACGGGUGAGUAAUGUCUGGGAAACUGCCUGAUGGAGGGGGAUAACUACUGGAAACGGUAGCUAAUACCGCAUACCAUCAGAUGUGCCCAGAUGGGAUUAGCUUGUUGGUGGGGUAACGGCUCACCAAGGCGACGAUCCCUAGCUGGUCUGAGAGGAUGACCAGGCAAGCUGGAGAUGCGACUCGGUCCGGUCUCCGACGUGAGGCAGCCGUGGGGACUUGUGCACAAUGGGCGCAAGCCUGAUUCAGUCAUGCCGCGUGUAUGAAGAAGGCCUUCGGGUUGUAAAGUACUUUCAGCGGGGAGGCGUUACCCGCAGAAGAAGCACCGGCUAACUCCGUGCCAGCAGCCGCUGUAAUUC